AUUUAUUUAGUAUAAAAAGUAUAAUUAACUUCCAAUUAAUAGGACUAAAGAUUUAGAAUAAAUA
rnacentral:tRNA from 1 species